UGAGGAAUAUUGGACAAUGGGCGCAAGCCUGAUCCAGCCAUGCCGCGUGCAGGAAGAAGCAUCUAUGGUGUGUAAACUGCUUUUGUACGGGAAGAAACACUCCUUCGUGAAGUACCUUGACGGUACGGAAUGAAUAAGGACCGGCUACCUCCUUGCCAGCAGCCGCGGUAAUACGGAGGAUCCAAGCGUUUUCCGGAAUCAUUGGGUUUAAAGGGUCCGUAGGCGGUUUAAUAAGUCAGUGGUGAAAGCCCAGCGCUCAACGAUGGAACGGCCAUUGAUACUGUUAGACUUGAAUUACAAGGAAGUAACUAGAAUAUGUAGUGUAGCGGUGAAAUGCUUAGAUAUUACAUGGAAUACCAAGUGCGAAGGCAGGGUACUACUUGUGGAUUGACGCUGAUGGACGAAAGCGUGGGGAGCGAACA
rnacentral:rRNA from 1 species